UUGUCGCAAUAAUGUUUUCUACGGUCAUUGGUGCCAACAGAUGGCGGCAGUUUAAAGUUGGGUGUUACUCUGCCCAGGCUGCUACCAUAGAAGAAGAAUGUAGACCAAUAGUACUUUAACGAUUUCCGCUGAUCGUUUCCGUGUAAAUCUUAGCAUUGCGUUACCCGUUAGGCUGAAAGUUUAGUUUCAUACUGCCAUAUUUUCGGAGUAACAAAAUAUUUAAACGGUCUCAGAUCAUGGACAGUGAAGUGUCUGACACUGACCAUGUACCAGUGCCUGAGAACACUGGUAUGGAGGGGGAGAACGCACCUCUUUACUGCAUUUGUCGGAAACCAGACAUCAACUGCUUCAUGAUCCUUUGCCAUGAUAAAUUGGUCAGUUUACAACCAGGAGCCGUACACCUUAACCUCAGAGGCCAGGACAUCCAGGG